CCGGCGAUUUCCGAAUGGGGAAACCCAGUGUGUUUCGACACACUAUCAUUAACUGAAUCCAUAGGUUAAUGAGGCGAACCGGGGGAACUGAAACAUCUAAGUACCCCGAGGAAAAGAAAUCAACCGAGAUUCCCCCAGUAGCGGCGAGCGAACGGGGAGGAGCCCAGAGCCUGAAUCAGUGUGUGUGUUAGUGGAAGCGUCUGGAAAGGCGCGCGAUACAGGGUGACAGCCCCGUACACAAAAAUGCACAUAUUGUGAGCUCGAUGAGUAGGGCGGGACACGUGGUAUCCUGUCUGAAUAUGGGGGGACCAUCCUCCAAGGCUAAAUACUCCUGACUGACCGAUAGUGAACCAGUACCGUGAGGGAAAGGCGAAAAGAACCCCGGCGAGGGGAGUGAAAAAGAACCUGAAACCGUGUACGUACAAGCAGUGGGAGCCUCUUAAUGGGGUGACUGCGUACCUUUUGUAUAAUGGGUCAGCGACUUAUAUUCUGUAGCAAGGUUAACCGAAUAGGGGAGCCGAAGGGAAACCGAGUCUUAACUGGGCGUUAAGUUGCAGGGUAUAGACCCGAAACCCGGUGAUCUAGCCAUGGGCAGGUUGAAGGUUGGGUAACACUAACUGGAGGACCGAACCGACUAAUGUUGAAAAAUUAGCGGAUGACUUGUGGCUGGGGGUGAAAGGCCAAUCAAACCGGGAGAUAGCUGGUUCUCCCCGAAAGCUAUUUAGGUAGCGCCUCGUGAAUUCAUCUCCGGGGGUAGAGCACUGUUUCGGCAAGGGGGUCAUCCCGACUUACCAACCCGAUGCAAACUGCGAAUACCGGAGAAUGUUAUCACGGGAGACACACGGCGGGUGCUAACGUCCGUCGUGAAGAGGGAAACAACCCAGACCGCCAGCUAAGGUCCCAAAGUCAUGGUUAAGUGGGAAACGAUGUGGGAAGGCCCAGACAGCCAGGAUGUUGGCUUAGAAGCAGCCAUCAUUUAAAGAAAGCGUAAUAGCUCACUGGUCGAGUCGGCCUGCGCGGAAGAUGUAACGGGGCUAAACCAUGCACCGAAGCUGCGGCAGCGACACUAUGUGUUGUUGGGUAGGGGAGCG
rnacentral:rRNA from 1 species